GACGAACGCUGGCGGCGUGCUUAACACAUGCAAGUCGAACGGAAAGGCCCUGCUUUUGUGGGGUGCUCGAGUGGCGAACGGGUGAGUAACACGUGAGUAACCUGCCCUUGACUUUGGGAUAACUUCAGGAAACUGGGGCUAAUACCGGAUAGGAGCUCCUGCUGCAUGGUGGGGGUUGGAAAGUUUCGGCGGUUGGGGAUGGACUCGCGACUUAUCAGCUUGUUGGUGGGGUAGUGGCUUACCAAGGCUUUGACGGGUAGCCGGCCUGAGAGGGUGACCGGCCACAUUGGGACUGAGAUACGGCCCAGACUCCUACGGGAGGCAGCAGUGGGGAAUAUUGCACAAUGGGCGGAAGCCUGAUGCAGCAACGCCGCGUGCGGGAUGACGGCCUUCGGGUUGUAAACCGCUUUCGCCUGUGACGAAGCGUGAGUGACGGUAAUGGGUAAAGAAGCACCGGCUAACUACGUG
rnacentral:rRNA from 1 species